UACAGAGGUCUCAAGCGUUGUUCGGAAUUACUGGGCGUAAAGGGUGCGCAGGCCGCGCGGGCAGUCAAAUGUGUAAUUCAGGGGCUCAACCCCUGCACUGCGCUUGAUACUUCCGCGCUCGAGCUUUGGAGAGGAGUCUGGAAUUCUCGGUGUAGCAGUGAAAUACGUGGAUAUCGAGAAGAACACUUAGGGCGUAGGCAAGACUCUGGACAAAUGCUGACGCUCAUGCACGAAGGCUAGGGUAGCGAACGGG
rnacentral:rRNA from 1 species